rnacentral:lncRNA from 1 species
GCAGAAAGUCGGCAUGCAGGGCGCCUCGCGUUGCUCUUCAUUCAAGCGUCGCGCCGUCACCCCGUCACGUUCCAUACCAUACCAAAGUGUCUGUGAUGUAAGUGCUCGGGUAUCGGUUGCUUGGUGUCGGAGCGGUGUCGGGGCGCGACCAAAUGAUCCUGCCACCGGCGCAUGACCGCGUUUGACGCGACCUGCUCUGCAAUGCCUCUCACCGUGACAUCGGUCAUAUAUCGGCAUAUUAGUACGCGUUCAUCGGUCCAGCGCGACGUCGGUACCUCGGCGCAUGGCUCUCGGUUUGACGCUUGUCCUCCCUUUCCCAUCCCCUGGCCCUAAUCCUCCAAAGGUGACGGACAGUGACGCCACGUCAUUGAGCUCUGGGCGUCGUCGCUUCUCCGGCAUGGUACCGUCUGAGCAUCGCGGCUCGGGCAGCUGUGUUCCUGCUGGGGCUGCAUGACGGCCUCAGGGCCAGCUAGCGGGCCAGCUAGCUAGUGACUGGCGUGCUGCUGAGAGGGGGGCCACUGGCCUGGCGGGGUGACGGCCACUGGCCUAGGGUGAUUGAUGAGCUGUUGGGCCUUUUGCGGUCGUCACUUGCGCUGCGGCCGUGGAGGCAAUGCGGGAAUUUACUGCAGUCGCCUCCUCUAGGGGGGCGGUAGCGCAGGCUGGCCCUUGGAGCUUGGGCGACAUCGGGUGAGGCCCCGCGUAGGUUUUUACUCGCGGGUGUCCGAGACCAUAUCACGCGGCACGCUCGUCCAUAUGGACGGCGUGGGGACUUGCGCGUGCACAGGCGUGCCCACCUUGCAACUGUUGGGACAUGCUACACCAACAGAGACCACCGUCACCAUGGGCCACGGGGGCGCCGUCUGUCGCAGCCUCGCUGCCAUCCUCUCAGCUCUCAAGUGCCGCUACCAGCAAACGAGACACGGCCCGUGGUUC